GGGCCCGUGGCUCAGCCUGGUAGAGCGGCGGCCUUCGGAGCCGUAGGUCGUGGGUUCAAAUCCCACCGGGCCCGCCA
rnacentral:tRNA from 5 species